ACCACAUGUUACACUUGGAUCGGUCACCUCAGGGGAACGCAUCAAAAGGUCCAACAGCAUCCAGCCAGAGCAGGAGAGGCUCGCAUGAUGUGAUGAAGUCCAGGAUUUGGGAAGGAAAACUGUGUGAUUGAUUUGCUUAGCUUUGAGGUGUCGUUAGCCUAUUUCUGUUUCUCUGCUGCAACAGCAUGAAUGUGAAGGUUCUGUUACUAUCAAGGAGGGGUUUGUUUUUUUUUCCUAGAAGUUGCCCUGGCCUGAAGCCUAAGACCCAGCUGUCCACCUCCUUCAUCCAUCCCACUCCAUUGUGGGUUCUGGUUUUGUCACAUACGUGAUUUUCUAAGGUGUGCCGUGAAGAAUCCUACGAUUACGAUUCUGCUUGAUUUUUGAAAUGCUUGCUAUAUUUCUUUAUGCUUGUUCUCAGUAUCAGAAAACACCUGUACAACAAAACUGGAAGUCAUAUGCAGUUACUAGUUAAUGCCUAUCAAAUGGCUCUUAAUCUGAGAGGUAGCAGGGUGAUUUUGCUUUAGCUUUUGUCAAUAACUCUGACUUUUUCCUUUUGACUUCAAAUCCCUUAUCCCUGUGGUUUUUAAUAUCAUAAGAGGUGAUGCAUAAAAUUCUAUGUGGGCACUUUCAACAAGACCUAGAGGGCUGAGUUUUCAGUGGAUUUAAAAUACGGUAGCCACCCCCUGCCAAGGCUGAAGCUACAAAACUCUCAGAUUUUGUCCUCGAAAGACAUUCUGAUUUUGAGAUUUUGUUAUCAUUGAGAAGACUGUCCUCUGAUUAGGUUUCAAACAGAUUCAACACAAAACUUGAUCGGAGGAGAGAUGACCAGUUAUAAAAGCUAUGGCUAAAAGGCAGGCUGUAGGUAUACACACAUGUGGGGAACAUGGAGAGCCCUUGCAGGCCAUUUCAGCCUGGUGCCUCCAGCAGGGAAGCUGCUGGCGUGUGCUGCUGUCCUGGGAAUUUGCACUGCAACCAACCAAGGUGAUGCUCCAGAGCCCUGGCUGAGCCCCAGCCCGGCUGCUCCCGGCAAACCUCAACGGCGCAGUCGCUGGAGCAGCUCAGGAAACUCACAGGAUAAGGCUGGAAACUUUUGAAGCUGGCCAGUAGUCAUUGCACCUUGGAUAAAGGGUAUUUGGCUCCAUUUAAAAAACAGUCAGGAUAGCUGCUGUAUUUUUUGAGUCAAAUGUGAUAUGUUAUAAAAAUUCAAGAGGCUGCCCUCAACUACACUGUGUUGCAAUCACCAGAGCUGGGAGGUCAAAACGCUUGCCAUGCCCUUGAUGUCCUUUUAGGGCCUGAAGCUGUCUAUGUAUGGCACUGAUAAUAGGGUCUUGCAUAAUGAGAUUAUUCUCUGAUAUAUGUUAAUUCUCUGAUUACUACUCUUAGCAAAGUUAGAGUCCAUUUUUAAAUUGUGGUUAAAAAUACUUUAAUUUUCUUCCAGCUGGGAAGCUGGGACAAACUAGGAGAACUCAGUAAGUAGGUGCCAUCCUUUUUGACACCUGAAAAACACCUGUCUUAAUAUUGGACUCUUGAAAAUGUAAAUGGCUUCCAUGGGGAUCUGAUGGUUUAAUCAACAGUGUGUAAUAAAAAAUGGCAAUAGUGCCAGCAUGCUCUGGUAUGGUUUAAUCUUUAACGUAUCUGUGAGUCUUCUAAAGUUGAUGGCUAGGCUGAGGAGCUUGUAAGCAGUCCCUAGUCAGUUUGAUAGUGAAAUCUUGAUUUAAA